GAUAAAUAGCGCGCGUGGGUGCGGCUCGGCGAUGUCUACGGGCCACACGCCACGUUUCGACCGGAACGAGUCAGCCACGGAAGAAGAGGGACGGACGAGAAAGGGGUGGAGGGCACGUUUCUUUCUCUUUGCUCCUUCUUCUUCUUCGUCUUCUUCUUCUUCUUCUUCUUGGAAGCCGGUGUUUCCGUGUUGUCGGAGACGCGGGGUGCCCUAUGGACACGCUCGAACACGAAGAGGAUAAACCACGGCGUGUAAUAUUUUUGCGUCACUAUUCAUAGUUCUGUUACACGGUGGUGGUGCGAGCAGACGUGCAGUCUGAAUGAAUCGGUCGAAAUUGGCACCGGCGUGUGGGAUCGUGGUCGAGGUUCGAGUGUUCAUUUAAGAAGGAAAGAUGGCACAAUGUCAUUUCGAAGAUGGUUAUGUAACGAGUACCAUUCCUGUACAUUGCGGUAAGGCAAAAGUGACACCAGAAUGAAAGGUACCAGAACCCGUUUCAAUUUCAAAAGAUACAACACGACCGAAACUUCGGGUCCUCCAACCACCUGGGAUAAACGUUCGAGUAGACGUUCGUUAAAAAUUGAAUAGAAAUCCUCAAAGAAAACAGUCCAUCAAGCUCGACAAAUUAAAAAUGGCCUCGGGGGUGCCCAAUUAGGAAAUCAAUUUUCUGUUUCCCGUCGCGUGCCAUUCGUUUAAAAGAAUAAAAAAAUCUCGAUACCGUCCAACGAUUUGCAAAGAUUGAUUAGACCCCAGCGGACCAAAUCUCGCGCAACAGUUUCCUCGACACUGGAUUUUGACGCAAUGCGUCAUAUGGUUACUGUCAGACUUGCCACUUGACUGUCCUACGAAAAGAAGCCGACCUAAAAAGCUGAAUGCACACCUAGUUCCAAAGCGCGCAAAUCGUCCGCAAUUAGUGUCCCGCGUAUCUUCCUCCUCAUUA